GGUAAAGUGACACAAAAGGUAAGGAUAGUUUUAUACUAAUGACAGUUGCAAAAGAGGAAACAGUCGGGAGCUAUUAACAGUUUAAUUGAUACGCUUUUAUGAAGAAGUGGGUUUUUAGUGCCUUAUGGGCUCACUGGCUUGUUGGUAAGUAGGUCAUGUAAAAGACAGAAUAAAAUAUAUAGUGUUCACAGAUGCCAAUAUAUGUUUGAUAAAAAAUAGGAGAGGUUCUCACAAGAAUGGAGCAAAUUGGUAUUGCUCACUACAUAGCACUCAGUUGGUAUUUUCCCCACCAAAGGAAUAUGUGGUCCCAUGUUUUACAAUGCACUGGGUCUCCUUGGAAGUAGGGGGAAAAGUAGUUGUAAUAAUUUAAGAUCGAUGUCUUAAACAAUUCUAUACUUCUACAAAAUGCCUAUGAGUCACAGUAAACUGACCUAAUUCUCUGCCACAAAGUGUCCUUGGAAGACCUUUGUGAAGGUUGGCAUUUGCAAUCUGCCACAAACUAAAUGCAGUGCAAAGUAAUGAAGCUGCCAUCUUCUAUAAAUCCAACUAAAGCCUAUUUACUUAUAUCAUCCCACGGAGGCAAAGAGCACUAACAUGACCAAGCACGCACAUUGUAAGUCAAAUCUAUUAGACAUGAACAGAAAAUAACAAUAGUAUGCAGAUAAAACAAUUUGCAAAAAAAGAUAAUAAAACAUAUUCAAUAUAUUUUGUUAUUAGUUGACAUACAUUUAAUGAUAAUAAUAAUAAUAUAUUUUCCUCCUCAAAUUUAUUUAUUGUUUUGGGGAUUAUACCAAAUCCGAUUUUAAAUAUAAAUCUUCCAUAUUGACCAGGGAUGGUUUAAUUAUGGGUGGAAAUGUCCAUUUUCUCCAGAAUGUAAGCCCUCGCCUCCAGAAUGCUUCACAACUGGUAGCUAGCCAUUACUUAAAGGACCACUAUAGUGCCAGGAAAACAUACUCGUUUUCCUGGCACUAUAGUGCCCUGAGGGUGCCCCCACCCUCAGGGACCCUUUCCCGCCCGGCUCUGGAAGGGGGAAAGGGGUAAAAACUUACCUUUUUCCAGCGCUGGGCGGAGAGCUCUCCUCCUCCUCUCCGCCUCCGUUACGCCCCGCCGGCUGAAUGCGCACGCGCGGCAAGAGCUGCGCACGCAUUCAGCCGGUCUCAUAGGAAAGCAUUUACAAUGCUUUCCUAUGGACGCUGGCGUGCUCUCACUGUGAUUUUCACAUUGAGAAGCACGCAAGCGCCUCUAGUGGCUGUCAAUGAGACAGCCACUAGAGGAUUAGGGGGAAGGCUUAACCCAUUCAUAAUUAUAGCAGUUUCUCUGAAACUGCUAUAAUUAUGAAAAAAUGGGUUAACCCUAGAAGGACCUGGCACCCAGACCACUUCAUUAAGCUGAAGUGGUCUGGGUGCCUAGAGUGGUCCUUUAAGUAGAACACUUUUUCCAGACAAGACUGCUAGGAAUGGAUACAAUGAGCAAUGAAGCAAGAAGCUUGAUCAUCGCCCCACUGUUCUAGCACAAAUUUAGUUAAAUAGUAAAUAGCAAAAAUUUAUUUUUACACUUCAGUAUUCUUGAAUGUAAUGGUACACAUUUAUUUUGUUGUGCUUUAAUAGUUCUUUGUGUUUGCAAUUAUUAACUUAAAAAAAAUGUAAAUUGUAAAUAACAUAAAAAAAUAUACAGUAUACAUAUUUAACUUAAAAAAAAUGUAAAUUGUAAAUAAACAUAUUAUUUGGUCAAAGUUUGGGUAACCCAAUUAAAACAUAUAUUUUAAAGAAAUUUUUUUUAAAAAAUUCUGUAUUUUAAAGAAAUUGAGGGUUAACUGCAGCCUAGCAAUAAGCUUAAUUCAAACAGGAGAAAUGAACUUCUCACCUUAGAGUGACCGAUGGAUAAAGAGUGACAUUAAUUCCUCUUUACUGACAGAUCAAUAAUGACAAGAAGAUUAAACAUGUGGUAGUGGAAAUUAAAGCUAAAGCAGGACUUUCAUAAUUGCAUUUAGAGGGAUUCAAGGAUAUACACUCACUAGAAUAGGUUUACCAAAAAUAAAACAUACAGAUAGAUAAAUAUAAAGUAAUUGCAUUACAGGCAAACAUUUUUUUCUUCUAAAGUUGUUUUGUAAAGUUCUAAAGAAAAAUGAAGUCUUCAGGUUCUCAUAAAAAACUUAAAGGACCAUGGGUUAUGCAUACUAUCAGAAGAAUAUAAAAUAAUUACAAACUCUCACAACCACUUUAACGAGCUUGCUAAAUUCACAAAUUCGUAUAAAUGGGUACUACCUAGUGAUGCUGAAAAAUUAUGAAAAGUUGUUAAUAACAAGUAAAAUAACACACAUUUCUAAUAAGACAUAUUAAUAAGAGAAAUGCUUUUAUUUGUAAGCCAUGUUUACAACUAGUGUUUGGUGGAUAGUAUCUAAUAUAGUCAGGUAUUAGAUCACUUGGGUCAGUUUUAGAGCACUUCACAUGAACAAAACCUGAUUUACCUGAAACGAAUACCUAAAUAGAUUAUUUUGAUUGCUUUAUAAAUACUCCAAAAGUGAUCUAAAAGCAUUUUCUUUAUAGUAAAUUAUACCAGUUUUCACAAACAUUUUCAUUUUAGGAGAUUGGCAGUGACAGAAAAAAAGAGAAGUGUGAAAGAGUGUGAAGAGAGAAUAAUUACAACAUCCUUAGUUCUGCAUAUGUACAGAUUCAAAGUGCACAUUGGCUGCUUAAAAGCUUUGUGAAUCUCUGCGGAAUAUAUUGGCGCGUUAUAGAUGCUAACAAUAAUAUUGAAAGGCAACAUGCUAACUUUAUAUACUCAGAAUUAUUGCACUUUGUAACUUAAACAUUUGUGGUUAUCCUUAUCCGUAUUUAUUUGUAAUUUUAUUUAGUGACAGUAUGUCAGUUUUGUUUAACAUUUGUGUACCACAGUGCUUUGCAUAUUGUCUGAAAGUGUUUGCCAUUUACUACAGUUACAAUCAAGUGGAAACUAUUGCAUCUGCAGAGCAUAGAUAAUAAUGUAAGAUAUAGUAUGAAGAAAUUAAAUACAUAUCUGGUGAAAAACCAAAAUGAAUAUUUAUUAUUUUAUGAAAAUAAUAAGUAGUAUACCUGUAAUUAAAGGGAAAAAAAUGAUGAGAAAACAAAUUCAAAGUUCAAAUUUAAUUUUUUUUAAAGGAAAUAAAAAUGGAGAGAAAACAAAUUCACAUUAUAGAGAACAAAGAUGAAAUAAAAAAAUAAGUGAUGUCUGAACAUGCCCAGGAUUGAACUCUCUUCAUUAAAUGCCUCACUAAUCCUUUUACUCAAACACAGUUGAGCGAUUGAGAAGAGGCUGUCCCUUGUCCUCUGAUGCAAGAGUCACCUAAGAGUUUAUAAAAGAAGAAGGACAUCUAUUUCCCAUCUUCAUUUUUGCUAAGGAAAAAAAGUAACAUUUACAGAUACGGUUAGUAAAGAAGGACAGAGAAAGAAUUAGCACACGCAAUUAACCUCACCAUGGGGAACAGUAAGAGUGGAGCUCUCUCCAAAGAAAUUCUUGAUGAUUUGAAAAUGAACACAAAGUAUUCAGAAGAAGAACUUUGUAAGUGGUAUGAAAGUUUUAAAAAGCAAUGUCCAGAUGGAAAGAUUUCCCGAACAGAAUUUGAGAAGAUCUAUACCAAUUUUUUCCCCAACUCGGACCCCAAGACAUACGCCAGGCAUGUUUUCCGUAGUUUUGAUACCAAUGAUGACGGCACAUUGGACUUCCGAGAGUACAUCAUUGCACUUCACCUUACCUCAUCUGGAAAAACUAGCCUCAAGUUAGAGUGGGCAUUUUCCUUGUUUGAUGUUGACAGAAAUGGUGAAGUCAGUAAAGUUGAAGUUCUUGAAAUUAUUACAGUAA